rnacentral:rRNA from 1 species
CCUACGGGAGGCUGCAGUGAGGAAUAUUGGUCAAUGGGCGAGAGCCUGAACCAGCCAAGUCGCGUGAGGGAAGACGGUCCUAUGGAUUGUAAACCUCUUUUGUCUGGGAGCAAAAUACUCCACGCGUGGCGUUCCGAGAGUACCCGAAGAAAAAGCAUCGGCUAACUCCGUGCCAGCAGCCGCGGUAAUACGGAGGAUGCGAGCGUUAUCCGGAUUUAUUGGGUUUAAAGGGUGCGCAGGCGGAAGAUUAAGUCAGCGGUAAAAUUGAGAGGCUCAACCUCUUCGAGCCGUUGAAACUGGCUGUCUUGAGUGAGUGAGAGGUAGGCGGAAUGCGUGGUGUAGCGGUGAAAUGCAUAGAUAUCACGCAGAACUCCGAUUGCGAAGGCAGCAUACCGGCGCGCAACUGACGCUCAUGCACGAAAGUGUGGGUAUCGAACAGGAUUAGAUACCCCUGUAGUC